rnacentral:rRNA from 1 species
UACGGGAGGCAGCAGUGGGGAAUAUUGCACAAUGGGCGAAAGCCUGAUGCAGCUAUGCCGCGUGUAUGAAGAAGGCCUUAGGGUUGUAAAGUACUUUCAUCGGGGAGGAAAAAACAAAACUAAUAAUUUUAUUUCUUGACGUUACCCGAAAAAGAAGCACCGGCUAACUCCGUGCCAGCAGCCGCGGUAAUACGGAGGGUGCUAGCGUUAAUCAGAAUUACUGGGCGUAAAGAGCACGUAGGUGGUUUUUUUAAGUCAGAUGUGAAAUCCCCGGGCUUAACCUGGGAAUGGCAUUCAAGACUGGUUUAGCUAGAGUCUUGUAGAGGGGGGUUAGAAUUUCCAUGGUGUAGCGGUGAAAUGCGUAGAGAUGUGGAGGAAUCCGGUGGCGAAGGCGGCCCCUGGCAAAGCUGACGCUCAUGUGCGAAAGCGUGGGGAGCAAACAGGGAUUAGAUACC